rnacentral:rRNA from 1 species
CUGAUGCAGCGACGCCGCGUGAGGGAUGACGGCCUUCGGGUUGUAAACCUCUUUCAGCAGGGAAGAAGCCACAAGUGACGGUACCUGCAGAAGAAGCGCCGGCUAACUACGUGCCAGCAGCCGCGGUAAUACGUAGGGCGCAAGCGUUGUCCGGAAUUAUUGGGCGUAAAGAGCUCGUAGGCGGUUUGUCGCGUCUGCUGUGAAAGCCCGGGGCUCAACCCCGGGUCUGCAGUGGGUACGGGCAGACUAGAGUGCAGUAGGGGAGACUGGAAUUCCUGGUGUAGCGGUGAAAUGCGCAGAUAUCAGGAGGAACACCGAUGGCGAAGGCAGGUCUCUGGGCUGUUACUGACGCUGAGGAGCGAAAGCAUGGGGAGCGAACAGGAUUAGAUACCCUGGUAGUCCAUGCCGUAAACGUUGGGCACUAGGUGUGGGGGACAUUCCACGUUCUCCGCGCCGUAGCUAACGCAUUAAGUGCCCCGCCUGGG